AUUGCAACUUUCAGCGAUGGAUGUCUUGGCUCGAAUACCGAUGAAGGGCGCAGCGAAGUGUGAUGAGCAUUGUGAAUUGCAGAAUUCCGUGAAUCAAUAGUAACUUGAAUGUGCAUUGCGCUUUCGGGAUAUCCCUGAAAGCAUGUCUGCUUCAGAGUCUCUGUUACCUU
rnacentral:rRNA from 1 species